rnacentral:rRNA from 1 species
AGUCGUAACAAGGUUUCCGUAGGUGAGUAGAGUGGACCCCCUUCCUACCCCCGCUCGCAUUUGCUAACAGUCGUCUAGGUGAACCUGCGGAAGGAUCAUUACCGAGCGAGGGUCCCAGCGGCCCAACCUCCCACCCCAUGUGUACCUUCCACGUUGCUUUGGCGGGCGGCCUCGCCCCCGCCAGAGACCCCACCGGAGACGGUGGCAUCAAACUCCCGAACGGUGAAGUCUGAGCUGAUACGAAAUGACCAAAACUUUCAACAACGGAUCUCUUGGUUCUGGCAUCGAUGAAGAACGCAGCGAAAUGCGAUAAGUAAUGUGAAUUGCAGAAUUCAGUGAAUCAUCGAAUCUUUGAACGCACAUUGCGCCCCCUGGCAUUCCGGGGGGCAUGCCUGUUCGAGCGUCAUUACACCUCUCAAGCACUGCUUGGUGUUGGGCCGCGCCCCCUGGGGCCGGCCCGAAAGCCAGCGGCGGCGUCGUCGACCCCCAGCGUUGCAAAACUCGCGCCGGGCGGCGGCGGCUCCUGCCAGACCCACCUUCUCAAGGUUGACCUCGGAUCAGGUAGGGAUACCCGCUGAACUUAAGCAUAUCAAUAAGCGGAGGAAAAGAAACCAACAGGGAUUGCCUCAGUAACGGCGAGUGAAGCGGCAACAGCUCAAAUUUGAAAUCUGGCCUCCUCGGGGUCCGAGUUGUACUUUGCAGAGGAUGCUUCGGGUGCGGUCCGGUCUAAGUUCCUUGGAACAGGACGUCGCAGAGGGUGAGAAUCCCGUACGUGACCGGCCACCAACCCCGCGUGAAGCUCCCUCGACGAGUCGAGUUGUUUGGGAAUGCAGCUCAAAAUGGGUGGUAAAUUUCAUCUAAAGCUAAAUACCGGCCAGAGACCGAUAGCGCACAAGUAGAGUGAUCGAAAGAUGAAAAGCACUUUGGAAAGAGAGUCAAACAGUACGUGAAAUUGUUGAAAGGGAAGCGCUUGCCGCCAGACUUGCCCGCGGCCGAUCAGCCGGUGUUUGCACCGGUGCACUCGGUCGCGGUCAGGCCAGCAUCGGCUCGGGCGGCGGGAGAAAGGUCGGGGGAACGUGGCUCCCUCGGGAGCGUUAUAGCCCCCGGCGCAAUGCCGCCCGCCCGGGUCGAGGACCGCGCUUCGGCUAGGAUGCUGGCGUAAUGGUGGCAAGCGACC